AUUACCUGAAUUUUUGUUGUGGGGAACUUUUGUUGGGCACAGUUUGAGAAGCUUAAUACAUAUGAUUGAAAUGACACCGAGAAGAAAUUUUACUCAACCAAGUUUACUGUUUUUCACUUUUCAUACGUUUUUGAGAACUUUCAGGAGGAUGAAUAUUUGUAGUUGACAAAAUAUAUUGCAUGAGAAAUUGUAACUCUCUUCAACCAUUCACUUUCUCAAGAUAAAAA
rnacentral:lncRNA from 1 species